CAAGGAAAUUGCUGAGCCGCACUUACUAUCUUUGGUUUCCGACAUGCGUCUUUGACCUAACGGUAAAAUAUUACCGUGCUUUGUGAGAGCAUUCAUCAUCAGAUACUGACAGCCUUUAUUUCUUCGACGACGUUAUUAUUACAACCUACUAAAGGUGUGGACUGUUUUUACGCCACUAUCGUAUCUUAAUAAGGCGCAUGCGGGGGAGCCCUAACAGCGUGCUGGCGAUAAUGAAAAUGGCGGCGGGAAGGCUGGUCCUUACAUGGGUCAUUGCAAUUGACUGCAAGUGCCGUUUUGACGUGUCAACGUCUUAUAAUUCGAUGGAGCCGGCUGCACGCACGAAAAAACAUGACGCAUGCGGCGUUACCUCGCUCUGAGGCGUUCCAUUUAAGGCUUGAAGUGCAAGCGAGAGCGCGGAACGAGCGACAAAGAGGCACAAUCGGCCUCCGCGUUCGGCAGCGUUCGUUCGU